GCCCGCCUAGCUCAAUCGGAUAGAGCGUCAGACUCUUACUUUAGCUGGACACGGGCAUCUGAAGGCUGCGAGUUCGACCCUCGCGGUGGGCU